rnacentral:rRNA from 1 species
GGGGAAUAUUGGACAAUGGGCGCAAGCCUGAUCCAGCCAUACCGCGUGGGUGAAGAAGGCCUUCGGGUUGUAAAGCCCUUUUGUUGGGAAAGAAAUCCAGCCGGCUAAUACCUGGUUGGGAUGACGGUACCCAAAGAAUAAGCACCGGCUAACUUCGUGCCAGCAGCCGCGGUAAUACGAAGGGUGCAAGCGUUACUCGGAAUUACUGGGCGUAAAGCGUGCGUAGGUGGUUAUUUAAGUCCGUUGGG